UUUGUAAAUCAAUUAUUUUCAGUACCUAUUACUUCGUGAAGAAAUUGAGAAGCUGAAGCAUGAGGAGAGGAAUCUCAUUAAGGAAAAUAAAGAACUGAAAGAGAAGUGGCGUGGAAUGGGAGCAAUAGUAGUAGCAUCACCAUCAUCAACCUUGUCAUCAGCAGAAGUGAACAAGGAUAGCAAUGACAAUAUGGAAGUGGAGACUGGUUUGUUCAUUGGACCUCCUGAGCCAAGACAAUCCAAGAAACUCCCUCCUUAAAGAAGAAGAAGUUGAGCCUCAUUUUUUUAUCAAAAGAAAAAAGAAAGUUAAGCCUCACAACUUCAAAAGAAUGUUAUUUAUGUUUUAUAUAUUUUCGUCCAAAAAUUUGAGGUGCCAAUAAAUUCUAAAACAUAGUGUAGUAGUUUGUUCUUAUUCAAUGAGCUGAGCCUCAAAAGUUUCUAUAAAACUACUGUUGUAUUACUUGUGUGUAUUAGAAGUUCAGUACAUGUUUAAGUAUUUUGUUUAUAUAUAUUUUUAAUUAAUACU